AUGAAGUCACAGACCCAGUUUCUCAUAGCCUUGCUGCUUUGGGUGUCUGGUGGUUGUGCAGACAUCGUGAUGACUCAGUCUCCAUCCUCCCUGGCCUUGUCAGAAGGAGAGAAAGUCACUAUCUGCUGCAGGUCCAGUCAGAGCCUUUUAUACAGCAAAGACCAAAGGAACUACUUGGCCUGGUUCCAGCAGAAACCAGGGCAAUCCCCUAAGUGGCUGAUCUACUAUGCAUCCAAUCUGGACACUGGGGUCCCUGUUCGCUUCACAGGCAGUGGAUCUGGAACAGAUUUCACUCUCACCAUCCACAGUGUGCAGGCUGAAGACCUGGCAGUUUAUUACUGUCUGCAGCAUCACAAACAUCCUCCCACAGUGCUUCAGCCUCAACACAAACCUCCUUGAGAGUCUCACCAGCUUUCUU